AGAAAAUAUCACGAUAUUCCUUUUUCGUUGGCCGUCAAGUGUCACUCUUACGCUAAGCGAGAACCUUGUGGCACCUAAGUGAAUAAAAGAGCAAAUACAUUAUUCCUUGAGUAACAAAUGUUUAAUCUGAUUCACGGUUGAAUAAACUUGUAAAAACACGGAAAAAACUUUCCAACGUCAAUUAGACGUUGAUCGAAAUGAAAAAAUUUUGACCAGUCGCCGUGUUGGCCAGUUGUCAAAAUUUCAUAAACACACGUCAGAAAGCAAAAUUUUUUGUAUCAUUCUUCCAAAUCUGGCAGAGUAAAGGAAUGGCUCAUCUGUACGCGGCGUAUAGGUGUAAUUUCUGCUGUGAGCUUCCGGAGACAGCACCGAUCUACCAUUGCCCAAACAGACAUCAAUACUGCAAUGAAUGCUUCAGAAAGUUGCAAAGGCUUUAUCGUGGGAACGUUGAAGGCGGAGGCUGUUGUUUGAUUUGUAAAUGUGCUGCCAAGUUUGAGAAAAGUGAUGUGAGUUCGGAGUUGUUGAAAAAACUUAAGGUUAAACCCGGAAUCGGACGACCACUAAAAGGUAACCCGAGGAAGACUUGAAAAAAACCAAGGCGAUGGCUUAAAAUCUUUGAAAACGCGAUCAAUGAGUGCCACCACAAUGUCAAAACGACCUCUGACGUGUCUUCACGAUGGUUGUAGAAAAUCAGUGGCUGUUUCCUCCCUUGUGAGCCAUUUCAAGCACGACCAUCCCGCAGUCCCCUGCUUUGGAAUCGAAAGGGGGCGAGAGUUAAAAAUGUUAUUUGACAUUUCGCUAGUGGCACACAAUCGAACUUUCUGUCUGUCGAUGGUCACGGUUUACGAAUUCAACAAAAUCGACGUCGUUCGUUCGAAAAGCUCCCAAAGUGUUAUCAAUACCUGCAGUAAGCUUUCUGGUAGAAUCCCACUUAACACCUUCUGGCUAAUGAUGAGCGGUUCGAGUGAAUACAGAAAGGAGAAUUCGUAUGUCGUUUUUUGGCUUUAUUCUAAUUGUGAAGAUCGGUAUUGGUACACGAUUGAGCUGUCGUCGAAAAACGAUAGAAUUAGUGAUUCGAGCUUUUGCAGCGCUGUUGGAUUGCAUGAAAGUCGCACCGUGGAAGACGUCGCCAGAAGUAUGAACUGCCUCUUUGUCAAUUAUGGGUCCUUUAUAGCCCUUCUUGAAGAAGGGGAUAAAAUUAAUUUAAGAAUUACAGUACAUUAAGUUUAAAUUGUCUGUGCCUUUUUAACUCGUGUCUCGAUGGAAGCUCACACAAUAAAAGAUUUUUUAAGACUA